GCGGGAGCAGAGCCAGAGAGAGAGAGAAAAGGAGAGAAAAGUUUCCUGGAGUCUUCAUUAGUUGACUUCUCUGUCCGCGGCUUCCCCCAGCCAGCAGGGCUCACCCCCAAUAAAGGAAGGAAGGGGGUCUUUUUUUUUUUUCUAAGGCCCCAAGGAGUCCGGUGUUUACAAGACUAGAAAUGCUACAGCCAUGUCCCGGCAGAAAGAAAGGCUGAAAUGGAGGACCGAUGCCUUCCUUAUAAGGUGUCCCUGGGGAAGAGGUGCAGAAAAGAAGGCAAUUUGGGAUCAAAGGAGGCUUCACUCUGGACCCAGUGCCCACUUGGGGAUGACAAUGAACUUGGUUUUGCUCACUGGGGCCUGAGCCAGCACCAACCUGGUAGAAAAAGCAACCACGAAGCCAGAGAGGGAAGAGAGCUCCAGACAGCGAUGAAAAGGAACCACGGUUAAGUAAUGCGGG